UGGGGAAUAUUGGACAAUGGGCGAAAGCCUGAUCCAGCCAUGCCGCGUGUGUGAAGAAGGUCUUCGGAUUGUAAAGCACUUUAAGUUGGGAGGAAGGGCAUUAACCUAAUACGUUAGUGUUUUGACGUUACCGACAGAAUAAGCACCGGCUAACUCUGUGCCAGCAGCCGCGGUAAUACAGAGGGUGCAAGCGUUAAUCGGAAUUACUGGGCGUAAAGCGCGCGUAGGUGGUUUGUUAAGUUGUAUGUGAAAUCCCCGGGCUCAACCUGGGAACUGCAUUCAAAACUGACUGACUAGAGUAUGGUAGAGGGUGGUGGAAUUUCGUGUGUAGCGGUGAAAUGCGUAGAUAUAGGAAGGAACACCAGUGGCGAAGGCGACCACCUGGACUAAUACUGACACUGAGGUGCGAAAGCGUGGGGAGCAAACA
rnacentral:rRNA from 1 species